AACACAUGCAAGUCGAGGGGCAGCAUGGUCUUAGCUUGCUAAGGCUGAUGGCGACCGGCGCACGGGUGAGUAACACGUAUCCAACCUGCCGUCUACUCUUGGCCAGCCUUCUGAAAGGAAGAUUAAUCCAGGAUGGGAUCAUGAGUUCACAUGUCCGCAUGAUUAAAGGUAUUUUCCGGUAGACGAUGGGGAUGCGUUCCAUUAGAUAGUAGGCGGGGUAACGGCCCACCUAGUCAACGAUGGAUAGGGGUUCUGAGAGGAAGGUCCCCCACAUUGGAACUGAGACACGGUCCAAACUCCUACGGGAGGCAGCAGUGAGGAAUAUUGGUCAAUGGGCGAUGGCCUGAACCAGCCAAGUAGCGUGAAGGAUGACUGCCCUAUGGGUUGUAAACUUCUUUUAUAAAGGAAUAAAGUCGGGUAUGCAUACCCGUUUGCAUGUACUUUAUGAAUAAGGAUCGGCUAACUCCGUGCCAGCAGCCGCGGUAAUACGGAGGAUCCGAGCGUUAUCCGGAUUUAUUGGGUUUAAAGGGAGCGUAGAUGGAUGUUUAAGUCAGUUGUGAAAGUUUGCGGCUCAACCGUAAAAUUGCAGUUGAUACUGGAUGUCUUGAGUGCAGUUGAGGCAGGCGGAAUUCGUGGUGUAGCGGUGAAAUGCUUAGAUAUCACGAAGAACUCCGAUUGCGAAGGCAGCCUGCUAAGCUGCAACUGACAUUGAGGCUCGAAAGUGUGGGUAUCAA
rnacentral:rRNA from 1 species